UACGUAGGGUGCGAGCGUUGUCCGGAAUUAUUGGGCGUAAAGAGCUCGUAGGCGGUCUGUCGCGUCGGCCGUGAAAACCUGGGGCUUAACUCUGGGCGUGCGGUCGAUACGGGCAUCACUAGAGUUCGGCAGGGGAGACUGGAAUUCCUGGUGUAGCGGUGAAAUGCGCAGAUAUCAGGAGGAACACCGAUGGCGAAGGCAGAUCUCUGGGCCGUAACUGACGCUGAGGAGCGAAAGCAUGGGGAGCGAACAGG
rnacentral:rRNA from 1 species